rnacentral:tRNA from 1 species
GCCGGUGUGUCGGAAUGGCAGACGAGGCAGACUCAAAAUCUGUUGUAUGCGAGUACGUGUGGGUUCGAGUCCCACCACCGGCA